GAAACAUAUAGCAUAUGAAGCAUGACAAUCAAACAAAUAAUGAACUUACAUGGUGAAAACAGAUAAAACAGGCAUUAAUUAUUCAGAUCAGUCCAUGACUAAGCAAGCAUGCAUGUUAUUAUAAAGAGAGAGGGAGACAGCGAGAGAGAAGGGAGGUUAAGAAGGUGAGGAAGCACGAGGGGUUAUAUGUAUGAUGAUGCAGGCAAGAAAAAUCAGAUUUAGAAAUUAUUUUGAUUUA
rnacentral:misc_RNA from 1 species